rnacentral:rRNA from 1 species
CGUGUAGGCGGUCCGGCACGUCUGGUGCUGAAAGCCCCCGGCUCAACCGGGGAACGGGCACGGAUACGACCGGACUGGAGGGGGUAGGGGGCGCCGGAACUUCCGGUGGAGCGGUGAAAUGCGUUGAGAUCGGAAGGAACGCCCGUGGCGAAAGCGGGCGCCUGGACCCCACCUGACGCUGAGACGCGAAAGCCAGGGGAGCAAACGGGAUUAGAUACCCCGGUAGUCCUGGCCGUAAACGAUGGGCACUGGGUAGGGAUUCGCCGAUGGAUUCCCUGCCGCAGCGAAAGCGUGAAGUGCCCCGCCUGGGGAGUAUGGUCGCAAGGCUGAA